CAACUCUACAUCACUUAACAAAGCUCGUGUUCGCAAAAUAUUCUCACUACUCUCUCUCUCUCUUUCUAGAAAGCAGUGUUUCUUGCGAACCCUAGAUCAGAAUCAUGUCUGGAGCGUACGGUCAAGAAGGCGGUGGCGGCUCUGCGCCACCGUCCUAUGGAGCUACAGGAGGCUACGGUGCUUCCGGUGGUUAUGGAGGCGGUGGUAAUUAUGGAGGUGGAGGCUAUGGAGGAGGCGGCUCCGGUGGAGGGGGUUAUGGUGGAGGUGGUGAUGGCGGAGGGGGAUACGGAGGGAAAGGCAGCGGUGGAGGGGGUGGAUAUGGCAGUGGAGGUGGCGAUGGUGGUGGCUAUGGUGGAAGGAGCGGAGGAUAUGGUGGAAACGAUGGCGGAGGUUAUGGUGGAAGGGGAGGCGGCGGUGGUGGUUAUGGUGGUCGGGGAGGAGGUGGAGGCUAUGGUGGUCGAGGAGGUGGUGGUGGAUAUCAAGGUGGUGGAGAUCGUGGCGGACGAGGUGGCGGUCGUGGUGGCCGCGGUGGCGGUGGUAGUGGCAGAGACGGAGAUUGGCGUUGCCCUAACCCAAGUUGUGGAAACUUGAACUUUGCAAGAAGGGUUGAGUGUAACAAAUGCGGUACUCCAUCUCCUACUGGUGGUAAUGAUCGUGGUAGUGGCGGCGGCGGUGGUGGGGGUGGGUAUAACAGAGGAGGAGGAGGAGGAGGAGGUGGUGGAGGUGGAGGGUAUAGUAAUAACAGAGGGGGUAGAUCUGGUAACUAUGAUGGAGGCAGGGGUAAUGACUAUACUGGUGGGCGGGGUAGUAAUAAUGAUGGUAGAGGUGGAGGUGGCAGUAGAGGUGGUUCAUAUGGUGGUAAUCAGGGGAGAGAGGACGGUGGCUAUGGUCAAGUUCCCCCUCCUGCAGCCCAAACUUAUGGUGGUUCUACUGGUGGUAACUACCCACCCUCCUAUAAUUCUUACGAUGGAAAUUCAAAUUAUGGAACAGAUGCUGGUCCCCCACCUACAAGCUAUACUGGUGGACCUACUUCAUAUCCUCCAUCUUAUGGAGGUAACACGGGUGGUUAUGGUGGCGAUAAUGUAACCGAUGCACGUGGGGGUGGUAGAAGUGGGCCCCCAGGAGGAUAUGACAGUGGUUAUAAUGCUGGCGCUGGCGGUGGUGGUCGAGGUGGGUAUGGUGGUGCUCCUGCUGAGCCUGCAGCUCCAGUGAAGCAGUGUGAUGAGAAUUGUGAUGAUACCUGUGACAACUCUAGAAUCUACAUUUCCAACCUACCACCAGAUGUGACUACCGAAGAAUUGAGAGAACUUUUUGGAGGCAUUGGUCAAGUUGGUAGAAUAAAGCAGAAGAGGGGUUAUAAGGAUCAGUGGCCCUGGAAUAUAAAAAUAUACACUGAUGAGAAUGGGAAUAACAAGGGUGAUGCCUGCCUUGCUUAUGAAGAUCCCUCUGCAGCACACUCAGCCGGCGGUUUCUACAAUAAUUACGAUUUGAGGGGUUAUAAAAUCAGUGUUGCAAUGGCAGAAAAAUCUGCACCACGGCCUGCAUAUAAUCAUGGGGGCAAUAGAGGUGGCUAUGGUGGAGAUAGGCGCAGAGACAAUUAUAGAGAUAAUUCUGGGCCUGAUAGGCGUGAGCAUUAUGGUGGGAACCGGUCACGACCCUACUGAGAGCUCUGACAUGAGCAUUUUAUGUACUAUGAAUUGUGGGCUGAGGGAUUUAUUAUUUCAGUUGGCUGGUUUCUUGAACUGGAAGCAAAGAGAGACAAGUGGAUAUUCUCCAAAUUGCUUGCUGCUAAGGUAGGUUGAUUUUUCAGGUGAGUGUCGCUUUCAUGAAAAUGUGUUUUAUACUUGCUUGGAAUAAAACCAUGUGUGUGGUACAAGCUGGUAAUGUCAUUAACAAAUAUAAUGCUUUAUUAGUCAUAGUUCCAUAGGAUAAUUAAUGAAUCCGAAUGAGAGUUUGUCGUCUAUAAUAUGCUUUUGCCAGAGAAGUGGAUAGGUUGGCUGUUAAAUUGCUUUUAUAAUCAUGGCCAGUUGAAAGGAAAGCGAUGACUUAGUGGAAAAGCAGUAUUCAUUUACAACAAAUGCAUUUGAUUGUACAAUUCCCAUAUUUUGAAACCAACACGGUGAGUUAAAAUUAUUGCAUUGAACAGGAAUGGCAUGAGUUAGCAAUUUUGCUUAAUGCAAAAGGAUCAAACAUGAUGUUAGCAAUUUUGUCAUGGUUGUGUUAUUGCAUUUGAGUAGUGAAAACUAGUCCUUGAUUGAUUGGCGACUUAUCAGGUGGCAGGUUUACUGAAAUACGGAAAUUCGGAAUAUUUUACCAUGUCUUGUGUGUAUUAUUUAAUUAAAGAAAUGAUGCAAUUUCAAAUUCAAAUAUUUUCAGUUUUGUAGAAAUUCAACUCGUACAUUAUUGAUUUGAGUGCAGAAGCCCUUUAAACAAAACUCCAUGACAGAAACCCCCCUCUUUUUGCCUUUUAUUGGUUUAUCUUUUUUCCAGUCUUAUUCUCAAGUCGAAUCAAUCCAGCAUCUAUUUUUAUAUUAAUAAUGUAUGUAUAAAGUCUCUUAUUCGCCCUUCCCUUAGGGUUGAACAAGUAUUAAUAAAUAUUAAAUAAUAGCUAGUGUGUUCAUUUUUAACUGUUCGUUAUACGUAUCUAUUGGUAUUAUCUUCUGCAUGGUUUAGAUAUACGUUGUAGUUCAGAUUUCCAUGCAACUAUUCUACGGUGAUUAUCUGCAAUGGGGAUUGGGGGCGAUGGCAGAACAUGCCUUAAAUCGUGGUUCUUACAUCAAGCUUCCAUGGUUCUUUGCUUAUUCGGGGAAUCACUUGCUAACAGAAUGCCCUUCAUUUUGGUCAUACGUCAGUUACCAACGCCUUAUGUUCUUCCCCUUGCUCGUCUUUGCUCGAGUGAAUGUACUUGAAACUUGAAAGCCAUAUAGUUGAUCUAAUAUACAAUUAAAUUGACCGAUGGGCUUUUUUGGCCGCAGAUGGACCCAUGAAUGCUGCUUUGAUUUUGUUCUUGCCUUUGUAUUUACUUCUUCAUAACGUUGUGAUAACAUACCAUCUUUGUAACAAAUGAAAGCCCUCUCCUUAAUAUCAUUAUUUUAGCUUGCAGUUAUAGUUAAUGAGAAAAGUAAAAUCAAUUAAAAGUUGGAAGCCUUUUUGUAGAA